GCCCGGGGCUCCGGCCAGCUAGGCGGGCCUCAUGGGAACACCGUCACCAUGCCCAAGAGAGGAAAGCGGCUCAAGUUCCGGGCCCACGACGCCUGCUCGGGCCGAUUGACCGUGGUGGACUAUGCCAACUCGGAUCCAGCGGUGGUAAGGUCUGGACGGGUCAAGAAAGCCGUGGCCAAAGCUAUUCAGCAGGAAGUAAAAUCUCUGUGGCUUGGAAGCGUCCCAGGUUCCUGCGGAGGAGGCUCUUUCCAGGGUGGGUGAGCCGUGUGACAUCCUGGACAGCAGUGAUGAGAUGGAUGUCCAGGAAGAAAGCACUCAGGAAAAAUCAGUCUCCAGAAAAAAGAAGAGCAAGAGACACAAAGAAGACCCGGAUGGCACUGGAGAAGAGUAUCCUAUGGAUAUUUGGCUGCUGCUGGCUUCCUAUAUCCGUCCUGAGGACAUUGUG
rnacentral:lncRNA from 1 species